CGUGGGUAAUCUACCUUCGAGUGGGGAAUAACAGCGGGAAACUGCUGCUAAUACCGCAUGACAUCGUCGGACCGCAAGGCCUGACGAUCAAAGCCGGGGACCGCAAGGCCUGGCGCUUGAAGAGGAGCCCGCGUCCGAUUAGCUAGUUGGCGGGGUAAUGGCCCACCAAGGCGACGAUCGGUAGCCGGCCUGAGAGGGGGGGACGGCCACACUGGGGACUGGGACACGGCCCAGACUCCUACGGGGGGGCAGCAGGGGGGGAAUUUUUCGCAAUGGGGGAAACCCUGACGAAGCAACGCCGGGGGGGGGGGAUGAAGGCCUUUGGGUCGUAAACUCCUGUCGACCGGGAAGAACGUAGUCCGGGCCCAAUACGGCGGGCUAUCGACUGGGGGCGGGUGGGAAGGGAGCCCACCGGCUAACUCUGGGCCAGCAGGCCCGCGGUAUACAGAAGGUGGCAAGCGGUGUCCGGAUACUGGGCGUAAGGCGCGUAGCGUGCUCUAGUCCGUGUGAAUCCCGGCUCACUGGGAUGCCGGGAACUGGAUGCUGAGUCGGGAGAGGAGCGAUCGGUGUAGCGGUGAUGCGUAAAUCGAGACCGUGGCGAGGCGCUCUGACGAC
rnacentral:rRNA from 1 species